GAUGAACGCUAGCUACAGGCUUAACACAUGCAAGUCGAGGGGUAACGAGAGGAAAGCUUGCUUUCCUUGUCGACGACCGGCGCACGGGUGAGUAACGCGUAUCCAACCUGCCCCCAACUAGGGAAUAACCUUGCGAAAGUAAGACUAAUACCUUAUAAUUUCCUCAGAUGUCAUCUGACGAGGAAUAAAGAUUUAUCGGUUGUGGAUGGGGAUGCGUCGGAUUAGCUUGUUGGCGGGGUAACGGCCCACCAAGGCAACGAUCAGUAGGGGUUCUGAGAGGAAGGUCCCCCACAUUGGAACUGAGACACGGUCCAAACUCCUACGGGAGGCAGCAGUGAGGAAUAUUGGUCAAUGGGCGGAAGCCUGAACCAGCCAAGUAGCGUGCAGGAUGACGGCCCUAUGGGUUGUAAACUGCUUUUAUACAGGAAUAAAGUUAGCCACGUGUGGUUAUUUGUAGGUACUGUAUGAAUAAGGACCGGCUAAUUCCGUGCCAGCCGCCGCAGUAA
rnacentral:rRNA from 1 species